CACGUAGGGCGCAAGCGUUGUCCGGAAUUAUUGGGCGUAAAGAGCUCGUAGGCGGUCUGUUGCGUCCGCUGUGAAAACUCGGGGCUUAACCCCGAGCCUGCAGUGGAUACGGGCAGACUAGAGGUAGGUAGGGGAGAAUGGAAUUCCCGGUGUAGCGGUGAAAUGCGCAGAUAUUCGCAAGAACACCAGUGGCGAAGGCGGCUCACUGGCUAGAUACUGACGCUGAGGUGCGAAAGCGUGGGGAGCAAACAGG
rnacentral:rRNA from 1 species